rnacentral:rRNA from 1 species
AGAGUUUGAUCCUGGCUCAGGAUGAACGCUGGCGGCGUGCCUAACACAUGCAAGUUGAGCGAUUUACUUCGGUAAAGAGCGGCGGACGGGUGAGUAACGCGUGGGUAACCUACCCUGUACACACGGAUAACAUACCGAAAGGUAUGCUAAUACGGGAUAAUAUAUUUGAGAGGCAUCUCUUAAAUAUCAAAGGUGAGCCAGUACAGGAUGGACCCGCGUCUGAUUAGCUAGUUGGUAAGGUAACGGCUUACCAAGGCGACGAUCAGUAGCCGACCUGAGAGGGUGAUCGGCCACAUUGGAACUGAGACACGGUCCAAACUCCUACGGGAGGCAGCAGUGGGGAAUAUUGCACAAUGGGCGAAAGCCUGAUGCAGCAACGCCGCGUGAGUGAUGAAGGCCUUCGGGUCGUAAAACUCUGUCCUCAAGGAAGAUAAUGACGGUACUUGAGGAGGAAGCCCCGGCUAACUACGUGCCAGCAGCCGCGGUAAUACGUAGGGGGCUAGCGUUAUCCGGAUUUACUGGGCGUAAAGGGUGCGUAGGCGGUCUUUCAAGUCAGGAGUGAAAGGCUACGGCUCAACCGUAGUAAGCUCUUGAAACUGGGAGACUUGAGUGCAGGAGAGGAGAGUGGAAUUCCUAGUGUAGCGGUGAAAUGCGUAGAUAUUAGGAGGAACACCAGUUGCGAAGGCGGCUCUCUGGACUGUAACUGACGCUGAGGCACGAAAGCGUGGGGAGCAAACAGGAUUAGAUACCCUGGUAGUCCACGCUGUAAACG